rnacentral:rRNA from 1 species
UACGUAGGGGGCAAGCGUUGUCCGGAUUUAUUGGGCGUAAAGAGCGUGUAGGCGGCUUUACAGGUCCGUUGUGAAAACUCGAGGCUCAACCUCGAGACGCCGAUGGAAACCGCAUGGCUAGAGUCCGGAAGAGGAGAGUGGAAUUCCUGGUGUAGCGGUGAAAUGCGCAGAUAUCAGGAAGAACACCCGUGGCGAAGGCGGCUCUCUGGGACGGUACUGACGCUGAGGUGCGAAAAGCGUGGGGAGCAAACAGG